rnacentral:rRNA from 1 species
GAUGAACGCUGGCGGCGUGCCUAAUACAUGCAAGUCGAGCGAACGGACGAGAAGCUUGCUUCUCUGAUGUUAGCGGCGGACGGGUGAGUAACACGUGGAUAACCUACCUAUAAGACUGGGAUAACUUCGGGAAACCGGAGCUAAUACCGGAUAAUAUUUUGAACCGCAUGGUUCAAAAGUGAAAGACGGUCUUGCUGUCACUUAUAGAUGGAUCCGCGCUGCAUUAGCUAGUUGGUAAGGUAACGGCUUACCAAGGCAACGAUGCAUAGCCGACCUGAGAGGGUGAUCGGCCACACUGGAACUGAGACACGGUCCAGACUCCUACGGGAGGCAGCAGUAGGGAAUCUUCCGCAAUGGGCGAAAGCCUGACGGAGCAACGCCGCGUGAGUGAUGAAGGUCUUCGGAUCGUAAAACUCUGUUAUUAGGGAAGAACAUAUGUGUAAGUAACUGUGCACAUCUUGACGGUACCUAAUCAGAAAGCCACGGCUAACUACGUGCCAGCAGCCGCGGUAAUACGUAGGUGGCAAGCGUUAUCCGGAAUUAUUGGGCGUAAAGCGCGCGUAGGCGGUUUUUUAAGUCUGAUGUGAAAGCCCACGGCUCAACCGUGGAGGGUCAUUGGAAACUGGAAAACUUGAGUGCAGAAGAGGAAAGUGGAAUUCCAUGUGUAGCGGUGAAAUGCGCAGAGAUAUGGAGGAACACCAGUGGCGAAGGCGACUUUCUGGUCUGUAACUGACGCUGAUGUGCGAAAGCGUGGGGAUCAAACAGGAUUAGAUACCCUGGUAGUCCACGCCGUAAACGAUGAGUGCUAAGUGUUAGGGGGUUUCCGCCCCUUAGUGCUGCAGCUAACGCAUUAAGCACUCCGCCUGGGGAGUACGACCGCAAGGUUGAAACUCAAAGGAAUUGACGGGGACCCGCACAAGCGGUGGAGCAUGUGGUUUAAUUCGAAGCAACGCGAAGAACCUUACCAAAUCUUGACAUCCUUUGACAACUCUAGAGAUAGAGCCUUCCCCUUCGGGGGACAAAGUGACAGGUGGUGCAUGGUUGUCGUCAGCUCGUGUCGUGAGAUGUUGGGUUAAGUCCCGCAACGAGCGCAACCCUUAAGCUUAGUUGCCAUCAUUAAGUUGGGCACUCUAAGUUGACUGCCGGUGACAAACCGGAGGAAGGUGGGGAUGACGUCAAAUCACCAUGCCCCUUAUGAUUUGGGCUACACACGUGCUACAAUGGACAAUACAAAGGGCAGCGAAACCGCGAGGUCAAGCAAAUCCCAUAAAGUUGUUCUCAGUUCGGAUUGUAGUCUGCAACUCGACUACAUGAAGCUGGAAUCGCUAGUAAUCGUAGAUCAGCAUGCUACGGUGAAUACGUUCCCGGGUCU